GCAGCCGCGGGCGGAUCAUCCAGGAGGAGUGAGUGGUCCAGACCAGAAGCUGGGAGGUGGGUAUUAGAGCAUGCCUCCCUGCUCAGCUGGAGCAGACUGUUUGGGCCAAAGCAAGCCUGCCCACCCUGAGAGGGGGGUGGGUUUGCAGGGGAGGUGCAAAGCAUCCUGGGAUGCUGGGGGACUGUGAGCUAACUUGAAUCUGUAGGGGAUCUGGGACAGAAGUUCAAUAAACUGAUUUCACAUAAAUUAGUUGAGUCUGAUACGACAUCCAUCCAGGUUUACCUCAAACUAGUUUUGGCCAUUUUGAAAGCAAUUUAUGUGCACUGAACUUCUGGUGUGUUACAGAUUUGAACUGGCUUCUGAUCAUUUAUACCAGUUUAUGUGUGAUUUCUUUCCGUAGCCUAGGUAACCUGACUAAAAGUUUCAGGUAACCAGAUAUAUCCUCUCGAGUUGCAUGUGAAUAUUCUGCUCCCUUAGAUAACUCACUAACUAGCCAAUUUAUUUGUCCAUACAUACCACAGGUUUUCAUACCCUCUUAGGAUAUGGUAAAAGUACUGGGGUGUUGCUCUGUACCACAAGAACACAAGCACAGGAGUGCUAUUAAAGACAUGGCAAGAAAUCAUUAGUGUGUGGCACCUCAAUGCUUCCUGAUACAUCAUCACAAUCAAAACUUGUAACUGGAGGAGGCUUAACUGGGAGAACCGGACAUCCAGACAGAGCUUCCUCAGACUCAUUUAUAUACUGUUGUUGGAAUUGGUCUGUAUGUAAUUUGCAUGAAGUACCGGCAGGGAGUUGCUGCAUAAAUGAAACAUGCCACAUGCAUUUAGUGAGUUCUCCAGGCACCCAUUUUAUUCUACCAAUGUAAUUACAUGCCCAAACAAAGCCCUGUUUGAAAUGAGGAAUGGUAAAACACAUGCUGUCAAUCAAUCCAUCUACUUUGGGAUUUGUGUACCUGAUAGGCAACACCAGGAAGUAAAAGGCAAAAUGAACACACAAUAAUCUUUUCAAGAAAAGAGUAACAGGUGACUCCUGUGGGAUGGGGUGUGUUCUGAUAAAUGAGGAAGUUGUCCAAUUUAUGUUGAAGGCUUAAGGUAGGCUGGUUGGCAUACUUGAGGGUUUGCACAAAACAUUCAACUAGUCCAUUUGAAGCAGGAUGCUUAGGAGUAGAGUAUGGCAGCACGCUGUGGCAGAGGCUGCGUGGAUAGCUGGCAGCUGGGGCUGAGCCAUGCUGCCCCCCACCAUGCAGGGGGGCUGUGCCACAAGGCCAAGAGUGCAGCUGCUGUUGCUGGCUUAAUCGAACAAAGACAGAAAAUCAAGAAGCUGACGUGACCUCUACCAUGAGUCCUGAUUCCUUUUGCCUCUAGACCAAUACGGCUACAACCUGGGUACCUGACACAUGGAAGAUAUCGAAUUUUAGCUGAUUUUUUAAAUUAAAUCUUCAUAAUUGUACAAGGGGAUGCAAAUUUGACCACCUGAAAUCUGAGACCCUUCUGCUGUCUUUGUUCAAGGUAAUUUGCAUCAUCACAGAGCUCAGAGACACCUCACCACAUAAGAAAUGCCUACCCAGAAGAGCAUGCCAACUUUUUACUCCUCUGUGAAAUAUGAAACACCAUAACCAGAAGGAAAUACGACUACAUCCUGCUUACUACCAAACAACAUUGAGGUAAACAGACUAUUCCAACUUUUCUCUGAGCUUAAUGUGCAUAUAAAAUGAACUGGUCCAAACAGGAGAUUGUACCACACCUUCAACUCUUCUAUGAACUAUGAACUUUUAUUUCUACACAGGAGAACUUUUACAAUCUUUUCUCCUAUGCCUGAUGAAAGGUGUUUGUGCCUGAAAGCUUGCAAUUAAAGAAUUUUUUUUUUGCAAAAAUCUA